rnacentral:rRNA from 1 species
CUGGCGGCGUGCCUAACACAUGCAAGUCGAACGGAGAUAUGAUUUCGGUUAUAUCUUAGUGGCGAACGGGUGAGUAACGCGUGAGCAACCUGACCUUCAGAGGGGGAUAACACUUGGAAACAGGUGCUAAUACCGCAUAAGACCACGACCCGACAUCGGGAUGCGGUCAAAGGAGCAAUCCGCUGAGGAGGGGCUCGCGUCCCAUUAGAUAGAUGGCGGGGUAACGGCCCACCAUGUCGACGAUGGGUAGCCGAGCUGAGAGGCUGAUCGGCCACACUGGAACUGAGACACGGUCCAGACUCCUACGGGAGGCAGUAGUGGGGAAUAUUGGGCAAUGGGCGCAAGCCUGACCCAGCAACGCCGCGUGAGGGAAGAAGGCCUUCGGGUUGUAAACCUCUGUCCUUGGUGACGAAACAAAUGACGGUAGCCAAGGAGGAAGCCCCGGCUAACUACGUG